UUCUUCUUCUUCUUCUUCUUCUUCUUCUUCUUCUUCUUCUUCUUCUUCCCUCCCUCCCUCCCUCCCUCCCUCCUCCCCUCCUUCCCUCCUUCUCCCUCCAACCUGAAGAACAGGACAUAAACUCACAGCUACUGUUCCCGUGCCAUACUGUCCUGCUGCCACAGUUCCACCAUGAUGGUCAUGGAUUCACCCUCUGGAACUGUUCCUUAGCUUACUCGGUGCAUGGAUGGCUAAUACAAGAUCAACCAUCAGCUCCACUUCUGAGGCAAGUCCAGAAAGCAAGUUCCUGGUUCCUGAGACAAGAAUGUUCCCUAACUUAGAAGUGGCCUCAAAUGCCAGCAAAGAGUAACUGUUGGGGCUGGAAGGGUGGCUCAGUGGCUAAGAGCACGUGCGGAGGAUCAGGGUUUGGUUCACAGCACCAGCAUGGCAGCCCACAACUGACUAUUGCUACUGGGCCAGGGGACAAAUGCCCUCUUCUGGCCUCUUUUGGUUCCUGCAUACACGUGGUGCACAGAAACGCAGGCAAAUGCACACACAUAUUAAAGAAGUCUUUCUUUUUUAAAAGAGGAAUAAUAAAUGUCAACUCUUCCAUUCCAUUGGGCCAAAGCUCUCAGGUGCUGAGAGGUCAUCUUCCCUCAUUCCUCCAGAUUGUCUCGGACAUCUCCAUUUCACCUGCCAGGCUGUCUUCAGUUCCUAACCCACGCUUCACUCUAGCAUGGGGCAAGGGAUUUGAGUCUAGCUAAUCUAUAAAACAUGUGACUCUGUGACUCGUGUGACUCUGGAUCAUUCUCCUGAAGCAACCUCAGAUUUCAGCCCAGGAGAGAGUUCCUUACCAAAACCACACAUGGUCCUGUUGUUUUCCCUGGCCCUCCCCCUUCUUUUUCCCCUCCCCACUGUGUCUUGUUACACACCCCAAGAUGGCCUUAAGCCCAUGUUGUAGUCAAUGUUCUAUUGCCGUGAAGACACAUCGUGGCCAUGGCAACUCUUAUAAAAGGCAUGUAACUGGGUCUGGCUCACAGUUCAGAGGUUGGUCUAUUACCAUCACAGCAGGGAGCAUGGCAGCAUGAAGAGAGACAUGGUGCUGGGGAAGUAGCUGAGAGGUCUCCAUCCUGGUCUGUAGGCAGAAGAACAGACUCUGGACCUGGCAUGAGCAUCUAAAACCCCAAAGCCCACCCCAGUGACAUGCUUCCUCCAACAAGCCACACCUCCUAAUCCUUCUAAUCCUUUCAAACAGUUCCACUCCCUGGUGACUAAACAUUCAAAUAUAUGAGCCUAUGGGGCCCAAUCUUAUCCAGACCACCACAGCACAUGAACCUUCUGCUUCCUUCAACCUCACAGUGCCAGUUUGCUUCUCCUUCUCUUCAAGGACUCUUCUUAGGUUUCCACAAAGUGCACUCAAAUAUUUUGCCAUUUUCCACUUUAAUCCUUGAAGUUGCCCAAAUGACAGCCUGCAGUACUGUCCUAGCUGCUGCUUUGUCUCCUGACAGGGAUGGCUCAUUUCCUAGCUCUGAUGGAGGGACCUCACUGCAUCCCAUCCACAACAUCAACGGAGUCAGUUCCAUGUUUCAGGUUCUGCCAUUUGCUUCCCUGUACGACACAGCAACUCUUUAUUUGAAUUUGUUGGUUUGGAAGUGACAGAAAUCCAACUUGAACUAGAUUAAGCAUAGAUAAGAAUGUGUAAGGUAAUAAAAGCCAAUAAAUGGCUAGACAACUAAUUGGAAGAGUAAAAAUGUCUGAGGAAGGGCCAGUGAGCCUGCUUUAGUGAGUAAGGGUGCUUGCAGCCACCAGGCCUGAUGACUGAAUUUGAUCCACAGGACUUGAAUUAUAGAAGAAUAUCUUCUGAACUACACAUACACACAUGUACAUACACACGUACAUACACAUACACACAAGUAUACACAUAUAUACAUGUACACAUACCACACACGUGUACAUAUAUACAUGCAUGUACACACACACACACACACACACACACACACAUAUACCCACAGAUACACACAAAUGUAUGUGGCUGAGCGUAGUGUCAUUCAUACACCUUUAAUCCCAGUAGUCAGGAGGCAGAGGCAGUUGAUCUUUGUUUGAGGUCAGGCUGAACUAUAUAUGAACUCCGAGGAUUCCAGAGCUAUAUAAUGAGAACCCAUCUCAAAAUAAAUAAAUAAUAUUUUAUUUUUUAAAUUCAUAUAACAAUAAAUGGUAAGAGAGAACUUUCUUGAUCUACCUUUGCCAAGACCCACACUUGGACCAAUUCUGAGGACAGAAUUAUAUAAUUAUAUAAUGGAUAACCAUGUGGGGAGAGGGGACUGUUCCUAAUUUCCAAGAGGAAGAGUUGUGCUGGGAUGGCUGCUUUCUAGUUGUCCGCUGUGGAAGCCCUUAGAUAGGUCUCUUUCUUCAAACUACAGCCCAGGGAAGUUCAUCAAUCUGUGGUGUGCUGGCGGAUCCUGGAAACCUGAGGAGGUGCGUCUGGUCAGAGGGAGGGGAUCACUGGGGCAUGACUUUGAAGGCUUCACAGGUCCCCAGUCCUGUCUUCACUGUUUACGGCCUACCUUAAGGUAAACAGCUGUCAGGGUUGGGGAUUAGCUCAGUGGUAGAGCGCUUGCCUAGCAACCACAAGGCCCUGGGUUCGGUCCCCAGCUCCGGAAAAAAAAAAAAAAAAAAAGACUCACAUCCACAGCUUAUCCAUCUACUUAUACUUCUGUAGGAUACGCUAAGGAGAAAGAUCAUAAGGUAAACAGCUGUCUCUUCUACACACUCACUACUGCCUUGAUGUUCUGCCUCAACACGAGCCCAGACUCACUGCGGUCAAGGUCUCUGGGCUGAAAUUUCUGAAUUCAUGAAUUAAAUUCUUUUGC